rnacentral:rRNA from 1 species
GCAAACGCUGGCGGCGUGCCUAAUACAUGCAAGUCGAACGGGGAAAGGCCUUCGGGCCCGGUACUAGUGGCGCACGGGUGAGUAAUACAUGGGUAACCUGCCUUUCAGUGGGGAACAACUCAGGGAAACUUGAGCUAAUACCGCAUAAGACCACAGGAUCUGCGGAUCUAGGGGUCAAAGAUUUAUCGCUGAAAGAUGGGCUCAUGUUCGAUUAGCUUGAUGGUGGGGUAACGGCCUACCAUGGCUCCGAUCGAUAGCUGGUCUGAGAGGAUGAUCAGCCACACUGGAACUGAGACACGGUCCAG